rnacentral:lncRNA from 1 species
UAUUUUUAUCAAUAGUAUCAUAAUAUAUAUACACUAAAUAUAGCUCAAAAUAAAAACUGUAAAAUACAAUUAGAUGCACAACAUACAAAAAGUAUAACAUUAAUUUCUUAAAAUUAUAAUUUAAUAUAUAAAUUAAAUAUAACUUAUCUGAUUAUAGAACAACUUUAAUAGUAUACACAUCUAAUAAAUAUAAAAUUAAAUAGAAAUGUAAACUAACUUAUAUUUUUAUAAAUGAAAUCCAUUAACAUAUAUUAAAAAAAUUAAGAUGUAAUAUUUUAUAUUUAUAGAAUAAUACAUAUCCACUUGAUAGGACUAUGUUAACGAAAAAAACAGAUAUUGGAAAUGCCACAUGACAUGACCUUACAUGAAAAAAUGAUACACAGAAUAUUAGAAUUUAGAAUGCACAAAAUGACAAAAUAUACAGGAAAGAUAAGAAUUUGGCUCUGAAUUUAGAAGUUGGCAGUGUCUGUUUCUGGCAACACCAUAGACACUCACCCAAGUAUGACGACGUGGAACUACAUGGCUGCACC